AUUGAACGCUGGCGGCAUGCCUUACACAUGCAAGUCGAACGGCAGCACGGGAGCAAUCCUGGUGGCGAGUGGCGAACGGGUGAGUAAUAUAUCGGAACGUGCCCAGUCGUGGGGAUAACGUAGCGAAAGCUACGCUAAUACCGCAUACGAUCUAUGGAUGAAAGCGGGGGAUCGCAAGACCUCGCGCGAUUGGAGCGGCCGAUAUCAGAUUAGGUAGUUGGUGAGGUAAAGGCUCACCAAGCCGACGAUCUGUAGCUGGUCUGAGAGGACGACCAGCCACACUGGGACUGAGACACGGCCCAGACUCCUACGGGAGGCAGCAGUGGGGAAUUUUUGGACAAUGGNGCAAGCCUGAUCCAGCAAUGCCGCGUGCAGGAUGAAGGCC
rnacentral:rRNA from 1 species